rnacentral:rRNA from 1 species
CCUACGGGAGACAGCAGUGAGGAAUAUUGGUCAAUGGACGAGAGUCUGAACCAGCCAAGUAGCGUGAAGGAUGACUGCCCUAUGGGUUGUAAACUUCUUUUAUAUGGGAAUAAAAUGUUCCACGUGUGGGCUUUUGUAUGUACCAUAUGAAUAAGGAUCGGCUAACGCCGUGCCAGCAGCCGCGGUAAUACGGAGGAUCCGAGCGUUAUCCGGAUUUAUUGGGUUUAAAGGGAGCGUAGGUGGAUUGUUAAGUCAGUUGUGAAAGUUUGCGGCUCAACCGUAAAAUUGCAGUUGAAACUGGCAGUCUUGAGUACAGUAGAGGUGGGCGGAAUGCGUGGUGUAGCGGUGAAAUGCUUAGAUAUCACGAAGAACUCCGAUUGCGAAGGCAGCUCACUGGACUGCAACUGACACUGAGGCUCGAAAGUGUGGGUAUCAAACAGGAUUAGAUACCCCUGUAGUC